CAAAUGUUGUAGUAGUGGAUAAAUUGUAAUCCUCCUCCUCCUCCUCCUCAAUGAAAAUGCCACUUAAUAACAAAGUCUUGAACAUGAAUUUCAUUAAGAAAAAAAAAACAUGGAAAGAAAGAAACAGCAUACACGACAAACCCUUCAACGAAAAUGUAAACAGGAAACUGUUGCCUUGACGAAGCCCUCCUUAAGCAUAGGAAUAUCCAUAACCGCAAAAAUAAACAAAACAUCAAACGGAGCUCUUUAUUGCACAUAAUGCAUCAGUUGAUCUAAAGUUACAGUUUUAGACCCCCAGGAUUGGAUCAUACUCUUUAGCCACUCACGUCGUAUGCAGAAAAAGGUACUGAUAGCAAAUUUCCGGGCUUGGUUUUAUCAACGUUUCCUGGGCCGUCAUUUGCGGUGACCGCGCCUAGGAUCAUGGCCGGUGUUAGCCGAGGGUGCGCUGUAAUCAUCAAGCUUGAUUUUCAGAGACCUUCCUUCCAUCCCGGCAACAAUCGUCUCCUCUUCUGAAAAACAUAUAUCAUCAUCAAUAAACACUGAUAUGGCUGGCUCAGACUUCAGAAGCAAUAUCCAAUUAAUUAUUAAACCAAAAAGAAAAAAAUAAGAUAUGCAUUUUCAGCACAGAACGAGAUGAGUUGACUGUUUUUUUUUUUUUUUAAUAUGAAGAUUCUCAUAAUAUGUUUUUAGAGCCAUUGAGGGCCGUACCACCGUCUGCCAUGGUUGGCUCGUAAACCGUAACGAAGGCUCUAUAACAAAUUAAGCACGUCGCACAACAAUAUCUCAUGAUCUCAUCGUAAUAAUGAACAUACUGAUAAACAUAUACAAGAACCGAGGGGGCCCAAAUAAAAAAAAAAAAAUGACCCCAGCAUCUGCAAUUACAAGCUCAGAGCACCAAGUCCCCAGAGUGCAAAGUAGAAAAAAUCUUAGGUGAAAUUUUAAGUUGAUUUCCUUUUUUUUUUUUGGGUUAAGAAUAUUCCAGGAUGCAUGCCUGGGACAGAAACGGAGAGAGAGCCCAUUUACAUUUUCUGUGAAUAUGUACGGGUGUUUCGUUGGAAAUAGGUAAAUGCGUGAAUGGAUAAUGAUACUCGAAAAUACCUGAAAUGAAAAUGGUGUUUCUAGCGGAGCAAAUAACGAGAAAGGCAAGCAGAAUACAGAAGCAGAAUCGACUUCCUCCUCCGAAGCCCAUUCCUCUUUUCAGUUUUUACUCCUAAAGAAGACGGUGUUGUGCAGUGAAUGCCCUUCCUUCUAUAUAGAAAGAGU
rnacentral:lncRNA from 1 species